rnacentral:rRNA from 1 species
CAAUAGCGUAUAUUUAAGUUGUUGCAGUUAAAAGCUCGUAGUUGGAUUUCGGUUGAGAACGGCCGGUCCGCCGUUUGGUGUGCACUGGCUGGUCUCAACUUCCUGUAGAGGACGCGCUCUGGGUUAACGCUCGGACGCGGAGUCUACGUGGUUACUUUGAAAAAUUAGAGUGUUCAAAGCGGGCUUACGCUUGAAUAUUUCAGCAUGGAAUAACACUAUAGGACUCCUGUCCUAUUUCGUUGGUCUCGGGACGGGAGUAAUGAUUAAGAGGAACAGUUGGGGGCGAUUCGUAUUUCUAUGUUCAGAGGUGGAAAUUACUUUGGUAGUUUAUUGAAAGAACGAACUUACUUGCGAAAGACAUUUGUCCAACGGAAGUGUUUUCUUAUUAAAUUCAAGAAACGAAAGUUAGGGGGUCGGUCGAAGACGAUUAG